rnacentral:rRNA from 1 species
AUUGAACGCUAGCGGGAUGCUUUACACAUGCAAGUCGAACGGAGUGGCGGACGGGUGAGUAAUAUAUCGGAACGUGCCCAGGAGCGGGGGAUAACUAAUCGAAAGAGUGGCUAAUACCGCAUAAUAGUGGAGCGGCCGAUAUCGGAUUAGCUAGUGGGUUGGGUAAAGGAUCACCAAGGCAACGAUCCGUAGCUGGUUUGAGAGGACGACCAGCCACACUGUGACUGAGACACGGCCCAGACUCCUACGGGAGGCAGCAGUGGGGAAUUUUGGACAAUGGGUGAAACCCUGAUCCAGCCAUCCCGCGUGUAUGAUGAAGGCCUUCGGGUUGUAAAGUACUUUUGGCAGAGAAGCGGUAUCUGCAGAAUAAGCACCGGCUAACUACGUGCCAGCAGCCGCGGUAAUUC